UACUAAAGGUGCAAGCGUUAAUCGGAAUUACUGGGCGUAAAGCGCGCGUAGGUGGUUUGUUAAGUUGGAUGUGAAAGCCCAGGGCUCAACCUUGGAACUGCAUUCAAAACUGACUCGCUAGAGUACGAGAGAGGUUAGUGGAAUUUCCUGUGUAGCGGUGAAAUGCGUAGAGAUGGGAAGGAACACCAGUGGCGAAGGCGACUGACUGGCUCGAUACUGACACUGAGGUGCGAAAGCGUGGGGAGCAAACGGG
rnacentral:rRNA from 1 species